rnacentral:rRNA from 1 species
GAUGAACGCUGGCGGCGUGCCUAAUACAUGCAAGUCGAGCGAACAGACGAGGAGCUUGCUCCUCUGACGUUAGCGGCGGACGGGUGAGUAGCACGUGGAUAACCUACCUAUAAGACUGGGAUAACUUCGGGAAACCGGAGCUAAUACCGGAUAACAUGUUGAACCGCAUGGUUUAACAGUGAAAGACGGUCUUGCUGUCACUUAUAGAUGGAUCCGCGCCGCAUUAGCUAGUUGGUAAGGUAACGGCUUACCAAGGCAACGAUGCGUAGCCGACCUGAGAGGGUGAUCGGCCACACUGGAACUGAGACACGGUCCAGACUCCUACGGGAGGCAGCAGUAGGGAAUCUUCCGCAAUGGGCGAAAGCAUGACGGAGCAACGCCGCGUGAGUGAAGAAGGUCUUCGGAUCGUAAAACUCUGUUAUUAGGGAAGAACAAAUGUGUAAGUAACUAUGCACGUCUUGACGGUACCUAAUCAGAAAGCCACGGCUAACUACGUG